rnacentral:rRNA from 1 species
UACGUAGGGUGCAAGCGUUGUCCGGAAUUAUUGGGCGUAAAGAGCUCGUAGGCGGUUUGUCGCGUCGGCUGUGAAAUCCCGAGGCUCAACCUCGGGCCUGCAGUGGGUACGGGCAGACUAGAGUGCGGUAGGGGAGAUUGGAAUUCCUGGUGUAGCGGUGGAAUGCGCAGAUAUCAGGAGGAACACCAAUGGCGAAGGCAGAUCUCUGGGCCUAACUGACGCUGAGGAGCGAAAGCAUGGGGAGCGAACAGG